GAGGUAGAGCAAAUCUCAAAAAAACAANCUCAGUUCAGACUGCAGGCUGCAACUCGCCUGCACGAAGUCGGAAUUGCUAGUAAUCGUAGGUCAGCAUACUACGGUGAAUACGUUCCCGGGCCUUGUACACACCGCCCGUCAAACCAUGAGAGUUGGCAACACCCGAAGUCGGUAGUCUAACCGCAAGGAGGACGCCGCCGAAGGUGGGGUUGAUGAUUAGGGUUAAGUCGUAACAAGGUAAC
rnacentral:rRNA from 1 species